rnacentral:rRNA from 1 species
AUGGCCACUCCGGAGAAAAGAUUCGGCACUCGACAGGGAUGGAGCCAAAGGAAACGUCAUCCAGAACCACUCGGAAGAAAAGACAUUUGGCUAUCCAUCACCCGUCUCCACGGGAUGCGUCUACUUCACUCGGACGCCCGCGCAUCGUCAUUGCGCGGGACGCAUCUACUUCACUCGGACUUCCCGCGCAUCGCCCACUGCAGCACGCGCCUCUACUUCACCAGGAUGCCCCGCGCAUCGUCACUCUGCGGGACGCGUCUACGUCAUUCGGACGCCUCGCAUCGGUUGGUCACCUCAUCACCACUCGGCCGCUCCGCGCGUCGCCACUCGGUUGGUCACCUCAUCACCACUCGGCCGCCCCGCGCGUCGCCACUCGGUUGGUCACCUCAUCACCACUCGGCCGCUCCGCGCGUCGCCACUCGGUUGGUCACCUCAUCACCACUCGGCCGCCCCGCGCGUCGCCACUCGGUUGGUCACCUCAUCACCACUCGGCCGCCCCGCGCGUCGCCACUCGGUUGGUCACCUCAUCACCAUUCGGCCGCCCCGCGCGUCGCCACUCGGUUGGUCACCUCAUCACCACUCGGCCGCGCCGCGCGUCGUCACUCGGUUGGUCACCUCAUCACCACUCGGCCGCCCCGCGCAUCGCCACAGGUUGGUCACCUCAUAACCACUCGGCCGCCCCGCGCGUCGCCAUCGGUUGAUCACCUCAUCAGCACUCGGCCGCCCCGCGCGUCGCCAAUCGGUUGGUCACCUCAUCACCACUCGACCGCCCUGCGCGCCUUCAGACAGCUAAGUCAUUUUACAUUCUGUUAUUUUCAUCUUCCCGAGUAUUCCAUAAUUCACACAUCAGGUUCACUCGGAGGCCACACCACCGAGUGUACCUCUACGCUCGACUGCUUAUUUUCACAUACUUGCUUAGUACUGGUUAUGUGA